UGGGGAAUAUUGCACAAUGGGCGCAAGCCUGAUGCAGCCAUGCCGCGUGUAUGAAGAAGGCCUUCGGGUUGUAAAGUACUUUCAGUCGGGAGGAAGGUGGUAAGGUUAAUAACCUUAUCAAUUGACGUUACCGACAGAAGAAGCACCGGCUAACUCCGUGCCAGCAGCCGCGGUAAUACGGAGGGUGCAAGCGUUAAUCGGAAUUACUGGGCGUAAAGCGCACGCAGGCGGUUGAUUGAGUCAGAUGUGAAAUCCCCGGGCUUAACCCGGAAAUUGCAUCUGAUACUGGUCAGCUAGAGUCUUGUAGAGGGGGGUAGAAUUCCAUGUGUAGCGGUGAAAUGCGUAGAGAUGUGGAGGAAUACCGGUGGCGAAGGCGGCCCCUGGACAAAGACUGACGCUCAGGUGCGAAAGCGUGGGGAGCAAACAGG
rnacentral:rRNA from 1 species